rnacentral:lncRNA from 1 species
GCAACAAAAGUGAGUACACCCCUAAGUGGAAAUGUCCAAAUUUUCAAUAUUUUGUGUGGCCACCAUUAUUUUCCAGCACUGACUUAACCCUCAUGGUCAUGGAGUUCACCAGAGCGUCACAGGUUGCCACUGGAGUCCUCUUUCACUCCUCCAUGACGACAUCACGGAGCUGGUGGAUGUUAGAGACCUUGCGCUCCCCCACCUUCUGUUUGAGGAUGCCCCACAGAUGCU